GAAUGGACUUGGAAAGGCAACACUGAUUCUAUAGAUGGUUUUAAAAUAAAAAUCUGGAUUGUUGAAAGCCAACAACAAGGAUACUUUAAGUUAGUAAAUGGAGACCAAAUUCCUGGAUUAACAUUAGAUCACAACGUUUUAGAGGAAUUUAACCAAGAAAAACUACCAAAAACCGAACCUAGGAUAGUUGUUAUACCUGAUGCCGAAACAAGAGAAGUGAAAAUAGAUGAUAUUAAGUAUAACAAAUUAUAUGAAAUACGAAUACUGACAUACGACGGCCGUGAAGAUGGACCUCUGUCUGGCCCAACAAGGAUAAGACUUAUCAAACCAGAUGAAGCGAUCAAUGUUAUAGCAGCGCAGAGACAAAACAAUGAUUGCGUUGCCACUGUAGCAACAAAUCUUACAAUAUAUGGAGAAACUUAUUAUCACCUAAGAAAUAUUUAUUUAUAACUGACAGAGUUUAGCUGUAUAUGUUUCCUUCAAAAUAUAAUAAAAAACAAAAUCGA